GGAAGGUGUGACUGCCCCACAGUAACCUGAUAUUCAUUCAGUUUCUACAUGAACCAAGGCUUUUAAUGUAGUAGCACCAGUUAUUUGGAACACUAUUCCUAUGGAAACGAGAAAGGUACCUACAGUCUUGUUAUUUCAUUGCUUGGUGAAAACAUAUUCAUCUCACCAAGGAUUUUUAGAGAAUUAAUGUGAUUCAGUGUUGGUCAUUUGUUCUGUGUUUGGUUUUGGUUUUUUUUAAAAUAUUUCAUAAUUUUGUGAUUUAAUAGUUUUAUGAUGCUCUAAUGUUUUUAUUAAAUUGAUGUUUUUAAUGAGUUGGAGGUUUAUAAAUAUCCCUGUGAAUAAAUAAACAUGGCCUCUGCUUCAGAACUAGAUGGAGUAUCUCUAGAUAUCACAAUCCCUUAUUUGAAUUCUGCGCUUUUUAAUACCUGCAGGAAACUGAUGGAUGAGGUCAGCCAGAGGUUUGUCUUACAUGUCACCAGUGUGCAGAUGAUGAACAGCUCUGCCUCUCAUUCCCCUUGCUUGAUCCCAGAUGGGCUGUGGAAGUGAUAGACUGGUGUCUGGAGUCAGUUUAAGAGUGAAUGGGGAAUUAACUAUAAGCCAAGAGAAAUUUAAUCCAGAGCUAUUCUUCAAGUGAUCUGAACACUAGUUUGGCGUUGUGCUCUCCUUGAAGGAACAAGGAAACUUGGGUGUGCCCCCUGUGAAAAUUGCUGAGCCAUUUCAGUGAAACAUCAUUGUUUCAAAGUGCUGGUUGUGCUUUAGUUGUAAAUGGUUUAUUUGUUCUUUCUGUUUAUUAGUUUGCUUUAAUUUAGUUUUAGUAUUGUAUUUCUAAAUUGUUGCGACUUGCCCAGGGACCUUAUGGCGAAGGGCAGGUAAUAAAACAAAACAACAAAAACAACAUUAUAUGGUUUUGUGAUUUAUGUUGUGUUCUCUUCCAGGUACUUCUAGAAGAGUGGGAAAUUGUAGUUCGAGGACCCGAUCCCCGCGUAAUGGAAUGAAAACACAUGGACACGUGAUAUAAGGUUAAUGGACAAGAAAAGGCCACAACUUUAUUGAUUACAGCAAGUGAAAUGGUAUUGGCUUAGGCAUUGGAUCACGUCAGUUGACUUCACCCACUUGGAGAGGGGUGAGUCUAAAAGGGGGGUUUAUUCACCAGUAGGUGGAGCCUGUUGAUGCUAAUCCAACUAUAAGCUCUCCCCUGAUGCCACCGAGGGUCGUGCCAUGGCCCCCCGCCACACAGGCAUCGGACAGAAUACACGACCGCCGGAUUCCUUUAACGGAAUACCCAAAAUUGAAGGCGUAGGCGAUGGCCACACCUAGCCCUUCCACACACCACAAACACAUUAUUCCAAUGCCUAACCUACCCACCAAUACCACGAAAGUUGUGACGAUUGCUACGAGGUAGGCGAAACAACCACAAAGCCUAAUGCCAAAUGGAAAAAUUCCUACCAGGCCCCCUGGACAACCAGGGCGACCAACCUAAGGUCCAUAGCAAGGCCAAGAGAAAAACUGAAACCCUGAGCUCUAAGGGAGUGGAGGGUGGGUGACUCGCGAUGGGACGGCGAAAAGUGAGGGCCGCGUGGUUGGCGCAGCAGCAAGUUAAGCUGCAGUCCACGCCCCUUCCAAGGCACCUGGUUGGGCGCUUGCCCGUGGGCGUGGUGCACCAGCCAGGGAGUGGGUGGCAGGGGGCUAACGCCCCCUGCUUGAGGCGGAGCUCGGCUCCCGCCCACAACCCCUCCCCUCAUUUUCAGGAGGAGAGGCUUUAUUAUUAUGGGUCAAUGUCCAAAGUUAAGUCAUAUUCUGAACAGACCCAAUGAAAUUAAUAGACCAAGUGAAGUCCACGGAUUCUAUAAGAACAGCUGUGUUGGAUCAUGCCAAAUGACAAUCUGGUCCAGCCUCCUGUUCUCACUGUGGCUAGUAGGUAGGCCCAAAGCAGAAUGUGAGUCCAACAUCACUCUCUCCACUGGUAUUCAGACAGGCCUCCAAUAGUGAAGAGACAACAUAGGCAUCAUGGCUCGGAGCCACUGGUAGCAUUAUCCUUCAUGGGAUUGCCUACUCCUCUUUUUUAAGCCACCCAAGAUGGUGGCCAUCACGAGAUCUUGUAAAAGCCACAGCGUAAUUAUGCACUGUGUGAAUAAUUACCUUCUGUUUAAAUGCAUCACUUCUACAUAUCUACUCUAAGUAUGACUUAGAUAUCAGACCUUUUUAAUCCCAAAGUUUGUGUCUCAUUUGCUCAUUUAUCUCUUUGUCCCCAGACCACCUGCUGUAGAGAUGGACUAAUUCUAAGCCCUAAGAGAGAGACGCCAGUGUUACUCAUUAUACUGCCUGGUGCCUCACAGUCCCUAAAAUUCACAUCAAGCCCCUUCCAUUUUUCAUAAUCCUAGGUGACUUCUUGUUUGCUGCAGAUUGUGAAAGAAGUUUGGGAAGAGGCUCUUAAAUAUAGGAAUCUGGACAGUCUGUUUGUUCCACAAGAUAACCCCCUUGCUAUAAAAAGAGCUUAGCUAGUCCCCUUUCCCAUUUUCUAAAUUCUUUAGAUCACUUUCUAAGAAUGAUUAAGACGUGUGCUAAAAAUGUGCAAAGCCCUAGCUAAUUAUGAUGUACUGAUUAAUUUUGCUAGACAGCUAUGGCAGUUCUAAUGAAUAUUAAUAUUUUUUUUUCUAGGACAGAAGCUGUUGGCAAGAGGAACAACUUUCCUGCAUGGGUAACAAGUGUGGCAGAACAGCACGAGGUUGAUCAACGGAUCCUUGAUUCCUCUUGCUGGAGCUUUCAAGUCCUGUUUGCAGCAGAGACCUGCAAACUGCAAAAUAUACACUGUGAAUAGCUACAAAUUAUGAACCAGUGUUUUCUUAUUAAUUAAAAUUACAUUUUCUGUUCUUUCCAUAA